rnacentral:rRNA from 1 species
UACGUAGGGUGCAAGCGUUAAUCGGAAUUACUGGGCGUAAAGCGUGCGCAGGCGGUUUUGUAAGUCUGUCGUGAAAUCCCCGGGCUCAACCUGGGAAUUGCGAUGGAGACUGCAAGGCUAGAAUCUGGCAGAGGGGGGUAGAAUCCACGUGUAGCAGUGAAAUGCGUAGAGAUGUGGAGGAACACCGAUGGCGAAGGCAGCCCCCUGGGUCAAGAUUGACGCUCAUGCACGAAAGCGUGGGGAGCAAACAGG